rnacentral:rRNA from 1 species
UAAGCGGAGGAAAAGAAACUAACAAGAUUCCCNUAGUAACUGCGAGUGAAGCGGGAAAAGCUCAAAUUUAAAAUCUGGUGGUCUUUGGCCGUCCGAGUUGUAAUUUAGAGAAGCGUCUUCCGCGCUGGACCGUGCACAAGUCUCCUGGAAUGGAGCGUCAUAGAGGGUGAGAAUCCCGUCUUUGGCACGGACACACCAGGGCUUUUGUGAUGCGCUCUCGAAGAGUCGAGUUGUUUGGGAAUGCAGCUCAAAAUGGGUGGUGAACUCCAUCUAAAGCUAAAUAUUGGCGAGAGACCGAUAGCGAACAAGUACCGUGAGGGAAAGAUGAAAAGCACUUUGGAAAGAGAGUGAAACAGUACGUGAAAUUGUUGAAAGGGAAACGCUUGAAGUCAGUCGCGUCGACCGAGACUCAGCCUUGCCUUGGCUUGGUGUACUUCUCGGCUGACGGGUCAGCAUCAAUUUUGCCCCUUGGAUAAUGGUGAGGGAAAUGUGACACCUUUACGGUGUGUUAUAGUCUCUUGUCGCAUGCAAGGGUCGGGAUUGAGGAACUCAGCACGCGCCCUUGGGCGUCGGGGCUUUUGCCCACGAUACGUGCUUAGGAUGUUGGCAUAAUGGCUUUAAACGACC